rnacentral:lncRNA from 1 species
GUGUCCGCACCGCCGCGGGCGCCGCUCGGGAGGAGAAGCCUCAACUUUGAAGCAAGUGCAUCCCCGCAGGCAGCCGGCUCCCAGCUCGGCGUUGGUACCCAGCCGCCGCCUCCGAGGGCAUGCCUCCCCCUCGACCCGGCAUCCGAGAGCUUCUUAGGGGGUGGGAGGGAGUGCGUGUGCUCCUUUUCCUAAGUUUAUGCUCACACAAGUGAUCAAACCGCUGAUGAAUUUCAGAUGAAGUGAUUGUUCUGAAAUGUGGGUGGUGAUUAUGCAAAGCCACAGUGUGCAGCCUUGUAAAGCAAAACUAAUACAACUGUUCAGCUCUCCCCCGAGAAUGGUGCAAAGUAAAUAUAGGAGUUCCUGAAAAAUAACAGUAUGCUACUUCUGAAACAAGCACCUUUUUAGAAGGUCUUGGAGAGGAAAUGCAGGUGAGUUAGUGCAUAGAUUUGUUUAUGGGCUUGUGGAUUAACUAAGAUUCUUACACUUACUCCUGAAGAGGAGCCACAUUGUCUUGAGCAUGUAGCACUUUAACUGCAAAUUUUAUCAUGGAGGCAGGCAAAAUGAAGGGAAAGAAAUGAGUGUUUGCAGAUAUCACUUGCUGUCCUGCCUGCGUGGUUGUUCUAAAUAUCAGCAGCAUGUGGAGAGUUACUGGCAGGCCUACAGGUAAUGCAGAGCUCCAGCAGUGUGGCUGCCAGUGGAGCCAGCACUUACUAAUAACUGACUAAUUGUUU